rnacentral:rRNA from 1 species
UACGUAGGGUGCAAGCGUUGUCCGGAAUUACUGGGCGUAAAGGGCGCGUAGGCGGCCUUCUAAGUCGAACGUGAAAUCCCCGGGCUCAACCCGGGAACUGCGUCCGAUACUGGAAGGCUUGAAUCCGGGAGAGGGAUGUGGAAUUCCAGGUGUAGCGGUGAAAUGCGUAGAUAUCUGGAGGAACACCGGUGGCGAAGGCGACAUCCUGGACCGGUAUUGACGCUGAGGCGCGAAAGCCAGGGGAGCAAACGGG